UCCCGGAUAGGUGAAGUGGCCUGGAAUGGUACUUCACCGAAAGGCUCUUCGGAGCGCCUAAGGAUGGGUCUGCGGCCGAUUAGGUAGUUGGUGGGGUAACGGCCCACCAAGCCGAAGAUCCGUACGGGCCAUGAGAGUGGGAGCCCGGAGAUGGACCCUGAGACACGGGUCCAGGCCCUACGGGGCGCAGCAGGCGCGAAACCUCCGCAAUGCGGGAAACCGCGACGGGGUCAGCCGGAGUGCUCGCGCAUCGCGCGGGCUGUCGGGGUGCCUAAAAAGCACCCCACAGCAAGGGCCGGGCAAGGCCGGUGGCAGCCGCCGCGGUAAUACCGGCGGCCCGAGUGGCGGCCACUUUUAUUGGGCCUAAAGCGUCCGUAGCCGGGCUGGUAAGUCCUCCGGGAAAUCUGGCGGCUUAACCGUCAGACUGCCGGAGGAUACUGCCAGCCUAGGGACCGGGAGAGGCCGGGGGUAUUCCCGGGGUAGGGGUGAAAUCCUGUAAUCCCGGGAGGACCACCUGUGGCGAAGGCGCCCGGCUGGAACGGGUCCGACGGUGAGGGACGAAGGCCAGGGGAGCGAACCGGAUUAGAUACCCGGGUAGUCCUGGCUGUAAACGAUGCGGACUAGGUGUCACCGAAGCUACGAGCUUCGGUGGUGCCGGAGGGAAGCCGUU
rnacentral:rRNA from 1 species